rnacentral:rRNA from 1 species
UACAGAGGUCUCAAGCGUUGUUCGGAUUCAUUGGGCGUAAAGGGCGCGUAGGCGGCGUGACAAGUCACUUGUGAAAUCUCCGGGCUUAACCCGGAGCGGUCAAGUGAUACUGUCGUGCUAGAGUGCGGAAGGGGCUACUGGAAUUCUCGGUGUAGCGGUGAAAUGCGUAGAUAUCGAGAGGAACACCUGCGGCGAAGGCGGGUAGCUGGGCCGACACUGACGCUGAUGCGCGAAAGCCAGGGGAGCGAACGGG